GGGUAGAGGGAAUUCCCAGUGUAGCGGUGAAAUGCGUAGAUAUUGGGAAGAACACCAGUGGCGAAGGCGCUCUACUGGGCCGUAACUGACGCUGAGGGACGAAAGCUAGGGGAGCGAAAGGGAUUAGAUACCCCUGUAGUCCUAGCUGUAAACGAUGGAUACUAGGUGUUGGACGUAUCGACCCGUUCAGUACCGCAGCCAACGCGAUAAGUAUCCCGCCUGGGGAGUACGCACGCAAGUGUGAAACUCAAAGGAAUUGACGGGGGCCCGCACAAGCGGUGGAGUAUGUGGUUUAAUUCGAUGCAACGCGAAGAACCUUACCAGGGCUUGACAUCCCCCGAAUCCCUCUGAAAGGAGGGAGUGCCUUCGGGAGCGGGGAGACAGGUGGUGCAUGGCUGUCGUCAGCUCGUGUCGUGAGAUGUUGGGUUAAGUCCCGCAACGAGCGCAACCCACGUCCUUAGUUGCCAUCAUUCAGUUGGGCACUCUGGGGAGACUGCCGGGGACAACUCGGAGGAAGGUGUGGAUGACGUCAAGUCAUCAUGCCCCUUACGUUCUGGGCUACACACGUACUACAAUGCUUCGGACAAAGGGCAGCGAGCCAGCGAUGGUGAGCUAAUCCCAUAAACCGAGGGACAGUUCAGAUUGCAGGCUGCAACUCGCCUGCAUGAAGGAGGAAUCGCUAGUAAUCGCAGG
rnacentral:rRNA from 1 species